UCAAAUCUAACAGUAUAUAAUGACCCGAUGGUCUGCCAGCCGAUUGAACGGCUGGGAUUCAAUGUUCUGCCGCGGCAGACCAUGGUCGCGCACCUGACGACCGAUGUGAUCCGUAAUUUUAGGAUCACCCUCAACUUCCCUCCCCUAAAAUCCGCACAGAUUCGCUCCAUCCCCAACCUCCCCGGCGCCCUACCGCCUCCUUCCCUCAUCGCCGCCCCUCGCCAGCCGUCCGUCAAGCACGCAGACUCUCGCUGCCGACCCCGUCUGGUCUGCCCACAGACCCUCCGCUCCCUCCCCGCCGUCCUUCACUUCUGCCCCUGCCGCCCCUCUCUCUUGCAGCGGAGCAGAAGCGGAAGCGCCGGGAGAAGAUCAACCGACGAUUCAUUGAGCUAUCCACCGUCAUCCCCGGCCUCAAUAAGAUGGACAAGGCGAUGAUCCUUUCGGACACCAUGAAGUACGCAGUAGCAGGAAAAUCUCAAGGCACUCGAGGACGCAACGUCCAGAGCAUCCAGUCCGCGGUGCUCGUCAGGAAGUUGUGCACAGCUGCGCCGUAAGACGCCGGCGGCUGCUGCCUGUCAUCUUCUGCAGCGGCCGUAGCUGGAAGCACGACUCCGACGACUGGGAAAGUGCUGCUGGAGGCGAGAAGGACAGCUGGAGUCGCCGCCGUCGCUUAUGGAGCUCCACACCAUUGCCCAGUUGUACAAUAGUAUGUGCAAUCUUCUCCAUUCAAGACUAAGUGCAAAUGGUGAACUCUUGCCAAACAAGAAGAUAUGAGGAUCAGGCAUAUAGGCCCCCAUAAGAAACGUGGAGAGAUGAAUCUGGUCGAUUGUAGCCACAAGGUGAGUGGCUUGAUCCUUAAUUAAUCCAUUUAAAUUUCAUGGUUUAUUGAUUAGUUUUUUAGCAAGCAAAUUUUUGUACAUCUGAUUGUAGGGAUACUGCUGUAGUAUUUGGGAGAAAGAGUACGUCUGCACCUGAUGGUGAUAUGCCAAAGUUUUGUAUUUUCUAGGUAAAUUUGCUACAUGGGAAGAUUCCUCAAUGGCAACAAUACACCAUGAUAGUGAUAAUGAUAUACUCCAUUUUAUGCUGAACAAGAGCAAGACAGAAAAGAGUAAAAGAUUCUCUCCGAAGUAAUUACGGAUUGCUUCCAGUGAUUUUCAAUUCCAAGUAAUAAAGAAUAUAAGGUUACAAUUCAUCACCUAAAAAAACAGAUCUUUGUAGUCAUAGUAAUGUCUUCUCCAAUUGACCAUACCCUUAAGCAUUUGAUGAAAGUGGAUAUAUCAUCAAGAGCCUUGCAAGCAAAUUUAUCUACAAUAGGAAACACACGAUGAUGACAUAUCAGUUAUUCCAAAUCACCAUAUGAAAUGUUUAAUGUUUACUUCCCCUUGUAACGUUAGCUUAUCUAGCAAAUUUCUGUUAUUCUAUACAUCGGAUUGAUAAGUUUCAAAUGGUACAGGAACCAGAUAUCCAGAUAUAAUUAGAGUAGGGACCGACAUUAAUUAAACCUCUUGACAUGCUCAUUUGAAAGUCAAGUAUAUUUAUGCAGCAAUGCCUUAUUAGUCCUACAGAAGAUACCAUUACUGCUGCUCAUAGGAAGAGAUAUUACACCAUCAGUUGAGUUUAGCUAAAUCUGCAGUUUUCAUUACAAUGCAUGAAUCUUAUUUAUCUUGCUUCAAAUGAACAAACAAGAGAGGAUGAAGUACCCAUCUUCCAGUCAUCUGGCAAGCAACAGUCCAGUGCAUAUUGCAGACCUUCUUAGCAAGCAUCAUCGAGUGCCAUUGUAUCUUGAAUAACACAAUUGUACAGGGAUCUUGAAUAGCACAUCAAACAGAGGCACGCCUAAUUGAAAUUACAUUGGUACAUUAGUACACGGUAAACUGCACAGUACGAAUUAAAAUUUAAGUGCAAAGAUAGGAUAAUCCAGAGUUGACACGAAGUAAUGUCUAAGGACUAAGAUCAAAUCAGAAUUAAUCCUGACAGUCAAUACAGCAAUGAGAAUUCAUUUCACAAUAACAUAGCUCAUAACAGUGGAGGCAUCGAACUGUGCCCAUAUAUUUUUGCGCACCCAUGCCCGCUCCUUGUUGUCUUGUUGCGGGCAUCCGCGCUGGGUCGCCCGUGAGCAUGCUGAGCUCGAGCGCAUCCUUCGGCACUUCGGCGAGCGGAUUCGAAGAGGGACGGGGAAGAGCAGGGGCGUGGAAGUCUCGCACCUCCGACGGAGCCUAGCGCUGGGAUGCUCCCGUGCAUGCCGAGCUCGGGGACAUCCUCGGCCACUUGGGCGGCCGGAUUCGACGAAAAGGCGGGGAAGAGCAGGGGUUGCGAACCUCUUGCUGGCGGUGGGUACGAAGGGGAGGGGUGGCCCGAGGAGGCGGGGAGAGGGAGCUGGCGACGACCAAGGAAGAAUGGGGAACGACGGGGAGAAAUGUGAGGGCCGGUGGGAUAUUUUUUUUUGAGGUGAAGCGGUGGGUGAGUAGGUAGGUGACGGUCCAUUGAUAUGGGCCAGAAAAUUACCAAAAGUCCGAUCAAUCCAGCCAGCCGUUCGUCUGAUGCCCGAUGCCUUAGCGCUCGGCUGAGUUUCCUGCUAUUUAGCGAUUGCGUUCUUGAAUCGGAAACCAAGCUAGCUGCUAGGUAGGCAACGAAUGAAUCAUAUCCAAAAUUAAAGUAUUUAUAAAGGUGUAGUUAGAUUUCAGUUGACUUACACUAAGUUGAGUGAUAUUAGCAUGUUUAUUUUUUUUAAAAAUCACCUUUUUUUAUUUGGAUUUAUGUUUUCUAAAUUUUAAUACAUGAAUAUAUUUGUCAUUUUUUCAAUCGAGACUCAAUAAUUAUUUUUAUCUCUCUAAAAACAAUCCAAUAUUUUAUUAUCCCUCUAAAAAUAUAAUGAAGACGGAGGAGGAUCUCAUCGAUAAAAAUUACCUAUGUACAUUAAUAUCAGACAUUUUUCAGUUUAGUUUACAGAGGGCGUAGUACAUAAUGUUGUUUAGUUGUUGUUUUUAAAAAAUAAUGUAACAAAUUAUAAUAAAAUUAUGUGAUCAUGAAGUUUUUGUGAAGACAUGUUUGUCGGUUGUGUAUUACACGCGCGCUCUUAUUGUUGGGCAUGAGACAUAUUUCGAUGGCUUGGUUACUAAAAAUAAGAUUUAAAAUGGAAUUUUAUAAAUUAUGAUACGUGCGUUGCACGUGCACGCUUACUAGUGGAGUCUCAAAGAGUUCAUCGUACCUUCCGCCAACGACCAACGUGUGCACACCCCAUCUGCCGGGGACGUAAAACAUGGCAUCCAA